rnacentral:rRNA from 1 species
UACGGAGGGAGCUAGCGUUGUUCGGAAUUACCGGGCGUAAAGCGCACGUAGGCGGCUUUGUAAGUUAGAGGUGAAAGCCCGGGGCUCAACCCCGGAAUUGCCUUUAAGACUGCAUCGCUUGAAUCCAGGAGAGGUGAGUGGAAUUCCGAGUGUAGAGGUGAAAUUCGUAGAUAUUCGGAAGAACACCAGUGGCGAAGGCGGCUCACUGGACUGGUAUUGACGCUGAGGUGCGAAAGCGUGGGGAGCAAACAGG